UACGUAGGGUGCGAGCGUUGCCCGGAUUUAUUGGGCGUAAAGAGCUCGUAGGCGGUUUGUUGCGUCGGCUGUGAAAUCCCGAGGCUCAACCUCGGGUCUGCAGUCGAUACGAGCAAACUAGAGUGUUGCAGGGGAGACUGGAAUUCCUGGUGUAGCGGUGAAAUGCGCAGAUAUCAGGAGGAACACCGGUGGCGAAGGCGGGUCUCUGGGCAACAACUGACGCUGAGGAGCGAAAGCGUGGGGAGCGAACAGG
rnacentral:rRNA from 1 species